GAUGAACGCUAGCGGCAGGCUUAAUACAUGCAAGUCGAGGGGCAGCAGUCCCGCAGCAAUGCGGGAGCUGGCGACCGGCAAACGGGUGCGGAACACGUACAGAACCUUCCUUCGAGCGGGGAAUAGCCCAGAGAAAUUUGGAUUAAUACCCCAUAGCAUUACGAAGUGGCAUCACUUUAGUAAUUAAAGUAUUUAUCACUCGAAGAUGGCUGUGCGGCUGAUUAGGUAGUUGGCGGAGUAACGGCCCACCAAGCCUUCGAUCAGUAACUGGUGUGAGAGCACGACCAGUCACACGGGCACUGAGACACGGGCCCGACUCCUACGGGAGGCAGCAGUAAGGAAUAUUGGUCAAUGGACGAAAGUCUGAACC
rnacentral:rRNA from 1 species